GAUGAACGCUGGCGGCGUGCUUAACACAUGCAAGUCGAACGGAAAGGCCCAAGCUUGCUUGGGUACUCGAGUGGCGAACGGGUGAGUAACACGUGGGUGAUCUGCCCUGCACUUCGGGAUAAGCCUGGGAAACUGGGUCUAAUACCGGAUAGGACCACAUUUUGGAUGGUGUGGUGGAAAGUUUUUCGGUGUGGGAUGAGCUCGCGGCCUAUCAGCUUGUUGGUGGGGUAAUGGCCUACCAAGGCGUCGACGGGUAGCCGGCCUGUGAGGGUGUACGGCCACAUUGGGACUGAGAGACGGCCCAGACUCCGACGGGAGGCAGCAGUGGGGAAUAUUGCACAAUGGGCGCAAGCCUGAUGCAGCGACGCCGCGUGGGGGAUGACGGCCUUCGGGUUGUAAACUCCUUUCGCUAGGGACGAAGCGUUUUUGUGACGGUACCUGGAGAAGAAGCACCGGCUAACUACGUG
rnacentral:rRNA from 1 species